CAAAGGGUAGUUUAAAUAAAAUAUUAAUUUUGGAGAUUAAUGAUAGGAGAGUUCUCCCUUUGA
rnacentral:tRNA from 1 species